UAAUCUGUCACCGUUAUAUUCUGACAUGUCAGACUUGGCUCUGGAUGAAAAGCUUAAGGACUUGGAGGCUGGGAACGACAAACGUGGACCGGAGGCUGUUAUAUCACAAUUAAGGGCUCUGUGUGCAGACACAGAGUGAAGGACAGCAUGCUUUGUGUUAACCUGAGGGCGGCUGCCCUCCGAGCCAUGUCGCAGAGGCUGCAUAGGUCAUGCCGUGUUGCUGGACCAAACUCGUUAUGGCACCUUGAUGGACACCACAAACUGAUAAGGUGGAGGAUCGUCAUACAUGGUGACAUUGAUGGGUACAGCCAUCUCGUUGUUUCUCCGUGCUUCCAGCAACAAUCGCAGCAGUACUGUAAUGGAUUGCUUCAUGAAUGCUGUCUCCAGAUAUGGUGUUCCCUCCAGAUGUUGAUGUUUGUGAUGACAAUGAUGUUGACCUCCAAACACUGCAGAAGUUAAUGAGAUGCCAACCAAAUUAACGUGAUGAGGGACAGCGUUUAUGAUUGUGCGAGGCUUUAAGAGAGCCCGCUUUAAUCCUGAGGCAAAAAUAGACAUGGUUUUUAGGGAUGCUGACGGAAAAGGAGCAGCUGAUGAGAGUGGUCCCUCAAGAAUUUCUCCGGCUGCUAAUGAGUGCCAUCCAUUCCUCUGCAAUAUUUGAGGGACCUGAUUGGCAAAAAAUGCCUUUCUUGAAACUCUCAAGAUGAGUUACACUUUUACACCAACAAAAACACGUUUGUUAAUGCAAUAUAUAUGACUUGAGUAAUAUUUGAUUUUUGUAUAAUGUGUCCUUUAUUUACAGUUUGUCUUCUGUGUGACAGUACUCUAUGAUGGCAUAUAAAAGCAGGUGGGCCGCAUGAUUGCUGUCUGGUACAUGAGGGUGUAGAGCCACAUUGAGGCUAUACAGGCAAGUGUGUGGCCUACAACCUCCUGUGCCAGAACUGAAAGAAAUUGUGGAAUAUGACUUCAGAGAGAAG